AGCGAACGCUGGCGGCAGGCCUAAUACAUGCAAGUCGAGCGCACCUUCGGGUGAGCGGCGGACGGGUGAGUAACGCGUGGGAAUGUGCCCUUUGGUACGGAACAACUGAGGGAAACUUCAGCUAAUACCGUAUGUGCCCUUCGGGGAAAGGAUUUAUCGCCAAAGGAGCAGCCCGCGUCGGAUUAGGUAGUUGGUGGGGUAAGGACCACCAAGCCGACGAUCCAUAGCUGGUCUGAGAGGAUGAUCAGCCACACUGGGACUGAGACACGGCCCAGACU
rnacentral:rRNA from 1 species